GACGAACGCUGGCGGCGUGCUUAACACAUGCAAGUCGAGCGGUAAGGCCCUUUCGGGGGUACACGAGCGGCGAACGGGUGAGUAACACGUGGGUGACCUGCCCUUAGCUCUGGGAUAAGCCUGGGAAACUGGGUCUAAUACCGGAUAUGACUCCAUGACGCAUGUUGUGGGGUGGAAAGCCUUGUGCGGCUAGGGAUGGGCCCGCGGCCUAUCGGCUUGUUGGUGGGGUGAUGGCCACCAAGGCGACGACGGUAGCCGGCCUGAGAGGGCGACCGGCCACACUGGGACUGAGACACGGCCCAGACUCCUACGGGAGGCAGCAGUGGGGAAUCUUGCGCAAUGGGCGAAAGCCUGACGCAGCGACGCCGCGUGGGGAUGACGGCCUC
rnacentral:rRNA from 1 species